AAGCGGAAGAUGCGAGAUGCCAGACCCAACAAUGCUGAAGAGCUGAAGGCCACUAUUAAAGCAACCUGGGCUCUCAUAACACCUGAGGAGUGCAACAGACUGGUCGACUCCAUGCCACGCCGUAUUGCUGCAGCAAUUCAGGCAAAAGGAGCUGCAACUAAUAACUUACAAGAGGUUCCCACUUGGACUUGGAGGAUUCACUGCAAGCAAUAUACAAGUAAUUUAAUAUAGCACCACCACCUCUCUCUAGCUAAAAUGGCUUCUUAUUGGGCCAAAAGACGUAGGGUCAUCAGAACUGUAAGGGACAUAGAGAAAGAUAUCCUUAAGGAAUACGAGGAAACUCUGCAUAAUGAAAGUGCACCCUGUGUGAAUAGGGAACCACCCUUCACAUCUCUCGAGUUUGCCAACUCGAUACACCACCAGCUUCCCAUGUACCCAUGGAAAAUGAGCAUAUAGAUGGUAGUGUAGAUGGCAAUGAUGAAGUUGAAUCAGAUUAUGUACAAAUGGAAAAUGAUCAUACAGAUGGUAGUGUAGCUGGAAGUGAUGGAGAUGAAUCAGAUUCUCACUCUGACAGUGAUGAGCAUCAACCUAGUCAGGAUCUGCUUAUAAGGAGCCUAAGAUAUUGGGCAACAUCCUACUCCAUCAGUCUGGUUGCUUUGUCUGCUCUGCUGUCCAUCUUAAAGCUAUUUCACCCUAGGCUUCCUAAAGAUGGAAGAACUCUGCUUGGAACACAAUCUCAUGUUGCAACCACUCAAAUGUUUUGAGUUUACCAGUGAACCUCACAACUCUUACUUUACAGUUCAACAUAGAUGGUCUCCCCCUCUUUAAGAGUUCAAGACUUCAAUUCUGGCCUAUACUUGCAAUCCUGAAAUGUGAUUACCCUAAGUCCCCAUUUAUUGUCGGCAUAUUUUGUGGUUUAAGCAAGCCAAAGUGUGUUGUUGAGUAUCUGAAGCAAUUUGUUAGGGACCUUAAAAAUGUACUGGCUAAUGGCAUUAUUCAUAAGGGUAAGCUAUUGAAUGUAGAGGUUUCCUCAUUUGUGUGUGAUGCUCCCGCCAGAGCCUAUGUUAAGAAUGUUAGUUUAGAUAGUUUAUUUCGAACAUGUGCGGGUAACACAACAAAGUGAACUGAAAAAAAAUAAAAAUAAAAAAAACAAAAAACAAAUCCAAUGAGAAUAGUGAAAACAACAAUAACAAUAGUCAGUAUAAAAAGUAAUAAUGUGAACCCAACAUGUCCGAAAAGGAG
ensembl:lncRNA